rnacentral:rRNA from 1 species
UCCCUAUGGGGUGCAGCAGGCGCGAAACCUCUGCAAUAGGCGAAAGCCUGACAGGGUUACUCUGAGUGACUUUCGCUAAGAAAGUCUUUUGGCACCUCUAAAAAGGGUGCAGAAUAAGGGGUGGGCAAGUCUGGUGUCAGCCGCCGCGGUAAUACCAGCACCCCGAGUGGUCGGGACGAUUAUUGGGCCUAAAGCAUCCGUAGCCGGUUCUGCAAGUCCCCCGUUAAAUCCAGCUGCUCAACAGAUGGGCUGCGGAAGAUACUAUGGAGCUAGGAGGCGGGAGAGGCAAGCGGUACUCGAUGGGUAGGGGUAAAAUCCGUUGAUCCAUUGAAGACCACCAGUGGCGAAGGCGUCCGGCUAGAACGGGUCUGACGGUGAGGGACGAAAGCUGGGGGAGCGAACCGGAUUAGAUACCCGGGUAGUCCCAGCCGUAAACGAUGCGGGCUAGGUGUUGGGAUGGCUACGUGCCAUUUCAGUGCCGCAGGGAAGCCAUUAAGCCUGCCGCCUGGGGAGUACGGCCGCAAGGCUGAAACUUAAAGGAAUUGGCGGGGGAGCACCACAAGGUGUGAAGCCUGCGGUUUAAUUGGAUUCAACGCCGGAA